rnacentral:rRNA from 1 species
CACGUAGGGCGCAAGCGUUGCUCGGAUUCAUUGGGCGUAAAGGGUGCGUAGGUGGCGCCGUAAGUCGGGUGUGAAAUUUCGGAGCUUAACUCCGAAACUGCAUUCGAUACUGCGGUGCUUGAGGACUGGAGAGGAGACUGGAAUUCAUGGUGUAGCAGUGAAAUGCGUAGAGAUCAUGAGGAAGACCAGUGGCGAAGGCGGGUCUCUGGACAGUUCCUGACACUGAGGCACGAAGGCCAGGGGAGCAAACGGG